GACUCAUGGCUCCGUGAUAGAACAUCCAUCUUGCAAGCAGAAGGUCCUGGGUUCAAUCCCCAGGUAGGGUUG